rnacentral:rRNA from 1 species
GAUGAACGCUGGCGGCGUGCCUAAUACAUGCAAGUCGAGCGAACAGACGAGGAGCUUGCUCCUUUGACGUUAGCGGCGGACGGGUGAGUAACACGUGGGUAACCUACCUAUAAGACUGGGAUAACUUCGGGAAACCGGAGCUAAUACCGGAUAAUAUUUCGAACCGCAUGGUUCGAUAGUGAAAGAUGGCUCUGCUAUCACUUAUAGAUGGACCUGCGCCGUAUUAGCUAGUUGGUAAGGUAACGGCUUACCAAGGCAACGAUACGUAGCCGACCUGAGAGGGUGAUCGGCCACACUGGAACUGAGACACGGUCCGGACUCCUACGGGAGGCAGCAGUAGGGAAUCUUCCGCAAUGGGCGAAAGCCUGACGGAGCAACGCCGCGUGAGUGAUGAAGGUCUUCGGAUCGUAAAACUCUGUUAUUAGGGAAGAACAAACGUGUAAGUAACUGUGCACGUCUUGACGGUACCUAAUCAGAAAGCCACGGCUAACUACGUG